AGGAAAAGAAACUAACAAGGAUUCCCCUAGUAGCGGCGAGCGAAGCGGGAAGAGCUCAAAUUUGUAAUCUGGCACCUUCGGUGUCCGAGUUGUAAUCUCGAGAAGUGUUUUCCGCGCCAGACCGCAUACAAGUCUGUUGGAAUACAGCGUCAUAGUGGUGAGAACCCCGUAUAUGAUGCGGAUGCCUGGUGCUCUGUGAUACACUUUCGAAGAGUCGAGUUGUUUGGGAAUGCAGCUCAAAUUGGGUGGUAAAUUCCAUCUAAAGCUAAAUAUUGGCGAGAGACCGAUAGCGAACAAGUACCGUGAGGGAAAGAUGAAAAGCACUUUGGAAAGAGAGUUAACAGUACGUGAAAUUGUUGGAAGGGAAACGCUUGAAGUCAGACUUGCUAUUUGGAAUUCAGCCGCAAGGUGUAUUUUUCAAUUUGCAGGCCAGCAUCAGUUUUCGGGGAUGGAAAAGGAUUAGGAGAAGGUAGCAGUUUCGGCUGUGUUAUAGCUCUUAAUUGGAUUCAUCCCUGGGGACUGAGGAACGCAGCUUCGGCUUAGGAUGCUGGUGGAAUGGCUUUAAACGACCCGUCU
rnacentral:rRNA from 1 species